rnacentral:lncRNA from 1 species
GGGGUGUAGCUCAUUUCUGAUAUAAAUAUGUGGAAAGAAAAUGGAUUUUGAUAAAAAAUGCAUUAAUUGUAACAGAUAUUUGCGAAAAACAGUUGGAUAUA